GGUUGAAGUCUUGGAAAUUGGACUUUAAAAGACACUUAGGAUUUUUAAGAUCUUUAGCAAUCUACUAGUUGGAUUAGAGUAAAAUUUACAUGUAAAGGUAAUAGACUUGAUUUUCUAUAAAUAUAUAAAUUUUGAAAAAAAUUAAAUGGUGUAAAAAAGAAAUAUUAGUGCUAGAAGACCAAUAUUAAGGUUGAAGAAGGAAGCUGGCCUACAUUCAAGCGGACUUUGAUAUUUUUCUUUUAUUUGGUAAGUUUGAUUUUCUUCAAAUUUUGCCAACUUAUUUGUUGAAAAUUGUAUAAAAUUUUAAGCAAGAUCAAUAGUUAAAUUAGUAGAUAUUAAGGUUUUAAACUAUAUUAGGAUUAAAUUAAGUUGAUUAAGUUUUGAUUAGGAUUUGAUUUAGGAUUAGAAUUGAGUUAGGAUUUAGGAUUUGGUUAGAAUUUGGUUAGGAUUUAAGAUUUGAUUUAGGAUUUAGGAUUUAGGAUUUAGAACUUGCUUAGGAUUUAAGAUUUAGGACUUGCUUAGGAUUUAGGAUUUAGAAUUUGGAUUUAGAAUUUGGAUUUAGAUUUAGAAUUUAGGAUUUACUUUGGAUUUAGAAUUUGGCCUAGAAUUUGAUCGAAGCCCAUUAGGAUUUCAAUUAGGAUUAAAUUAGGACUUGAUUGAGAUUUAUUGAAGAUGUAUUUGUGAUUAUUUUAAUUUUUUUAGGAUUUUUUAAAGAUUCUUUUAAGAUUUAUUGUAGAUAUUUUUUGAAAUCUUUUAAGAUUUCUUAUUAUUUCAUUUGUAAUUUCUUUAAGGUUUCUUUUGAAUUUGAUUAAAGUUCGAUUAACAUUUUUAAAGUUUAAUUAGAAUUUAUUUAAUAUUCUAUUAGAGUUAGAAUUUUAUUCUUGGAAUUUCUAUUCUACCUUCCACAACUAUGCAUUCUUGAGCAAGACUUCAUGUAAUACGACAACAUGUAAUACAUGGCUAACUUAUUGGCCAAAUUUCUAACCUAUCAAUCACUUAUAAAUACAUAUAAAGUCAAAUAUGCAUCUAUGAAGUUUUUAAGAAGCUUUGCUAUAAGAUAAUAUCAAAUCUAUCUAUAUUUAUCUUCUAUCUAGUACUUCUUAUCU
rnacentral:lncRNA from 1 species